GUGGAUUAGAUACCCUGGUAGUCCACGCAGUAAACGUUGAUCACUAGGUGUAGCGGGUUUUUACCCCCGCUGUGCCGCAGCUAACGCAUUAAGUGAUCCGCCUGGGGAGUACGAUCGCAAGGUUAAAACUCAAAGGAAUUGACGGGGGCCCGCACAAGCGGUGGAGCAUGUGGUUUAAUUCGACGCAACGCGAAGAACCUUACCUGGAUUUGACAUCCCGGGAAGUCCUUUGAAAGAAGGAUGUGCCCUUCGGGGAACCCGGUGACAGGUGCUGCACGGCCGUCGUCAACU
rnacentral:rRNA from 1 species